rnacentral:tRNA from 1 species
GUCCGGUUAGCUCAGUUGGUGGAGCAUCAGACUUUUAAUCUGAGGGCCAUGGGUUCGAGUCCCAUAUCGGGCU